ACUCAUCUGUUGCCAGCAUUUAAGGUGGGGACUCAGAUGAGACUGCCGGUGACAAACCGGAGGAAGGUGGGGACGACGUCAAGUCAUCAUGGCCCUUAUGUCCUGGGCUACACACGUACUACAAUGGCCGGUACAGAGUGAAGCGAAACCGCGAGGUGAAGCAAAACGCAGAAAGCCGGUCUCAGUACGGAUUGGAGUCUGAAACUCGACUUCAUGAAGUUGGAAUCGCUAGUAAUCGCGCAUCAGCAUGGCGCGGUGAAUACGUUCCCGGGCCUU
rnacentral:rRNA from 1 species